UCAGCCGAGAAGCUUUGGCAAGCAAGCCGACGAGCAAACGGGAACAAGAGCCCCGGGACUUUCCUAAGACAAACAAAGGAUUUAAAAAAAAGAACAAUAUUUAGCCUAACUCAAAAGUCCCACUUCCAGAUGGAGAAAAUAACUUACUGCAAACAACCUAGAAUAUUGCAAGUAGCUCUCAUUUCCACCAAAAAGGAAACCUUUUCCUUCUCAUCACAGGGCCAAAACAAGACACAUGGAAACUGAGCUAAGAGACGUUUCUAAGACUGGAAAAUACCAACUUCCAACCCGCGGUCCAUCCUGACUCUUGGUCCAUCCCAGCUUCUCUCAUUUCCUGUUAAACUACUAUUGUCCCCCCAAACUUUAGAUUUCCCUUAAUCCUAUCUCCUCCCCUAGGAAACUGUCAAGCGAUUGCCCUUUGGCAGUAGUGAGUCAAAGCUCCAGGCCGCUGUCAAAUAUUCCUGCUUUGUCAGCCAAGGCUUACAAGGAACGACACUGCAAAGUUAAGACGCAAACGGAUGUGAGAAGGCUGUUGAUACCGGACCUGACCUAGCUGUGAGCAGAGGGAUGGAGCUGCAGGGGAAGACACCAGGCAUUGCCAACAUACACGCUAUUUCCGCAAGUAUCAUCGAGGACGUAAGUCCCAUGCGACCCGGGGGGGCAGAGUCCAGGGUGAAGAGACCCGUCUCACCCCAGCUGACUCUUGGCCUCAGUAAACACUGCACACCAAGGAACAGAAAGCUGUGGCCAGUGGCCCAAAUCCAACCCACAUCUACUUUUGUAUGACUGUCAACUUCAAAAUGAUUGACAAUUUUUUAGGGGUAGGAAUUCAGCCUAGCUGUUGAGAUGCCUGGAUUUGAUUCCUGACUCUUGCUCCUGACUCCAGCUUCCUUCUAGUGCAGACCCGGGGAGGGAAUGGUGAUGGCUCAAGUAAUUGAGUUCUUGCCGCCCACGUGGGAGACCUGGACAGAGUUCCUGGCCCCUAGGUUCAGCCACUAUGGGCCUCUGGGAAGUGAACCAGUGAAUGGACGCUCUCUGUCUUGCUGUGUGUAUUUGUCUUACUGUCUAUCAGAUAAAUUUUUUUUUUUCAUUUUUAACACUGGAAGAAAAUCAAAGUGAUAUGUUUAAAGCAAAUUAGCAUUAGGUAAAAUUCUGUCUUCGGAACACUCACUGCCACGUGCAUUCUCCCGUGGCUGUGCCUAGGGCUGCCUUCACCCAUGAGUGAGACCGUGGAGUAGGAGCACCCGGGCAGUGUGCACAAGGCCACCAACGUUACUCUCUGUGCAGGAGGUUUGCCACCCUCUGGUGUGAGCUCUUUCCCACAAAACGCAACAGCCAGAGCAAAAGCAAGCAUUAGGCUGUAGCCACCACCUUCCAGACAGGGCCUGGCGCUGCGGGUUAGCCCCGGGGUUAGGGAAACCCUGCUCAGCUCCUCACAUCUCUGUUUCAGCAGGGUCACUCUGGAUACGGGGAGGGCGCGGGGCAGGCCCAGUGACGGUCCCCUGGGAUCCCGUGUCGCAGCACCUGGCAAUGGGCAUUUGGUGUCUCUGGCCCACACGUGUGAGAGUGAACGUUCCCAUCCCAAUCCCAAGAGGGAGAAAAAUACCCCAGGUUAGCUCUGUUUAAGAAAAACCUGUUGGAUGGGGAAUUUGGAUGUGGUUUCAAGAAAGGUCUGGAGGAGCCGGGUGCCACUGACUACCCACGACCCGUGCUUCUGCACCAGGCCCUCUCUCCACACCCUGGGCUCAGGGCCAAAUCCAGGCACAGCCAGGGGCUGGGGAUAUUGCCUUGCGACAUCCCAAGGGCCAUCUUCCAUCUUGGGUUGGAUGAACCGUGCUGUGUGAUGCUAGAGGUCAGGACGGUUCACAGUCCGCGAUCUGAACUCAGUGUCGGGAAGAUCCUGUCCACAAUUUUUUUUUUCUGAGUAGAGCUAGAGCAAGCUCUCCUGGGAGGCGAGGAGCUCACUGCUUUGACGGAGAUGCCGUGGGAAGCCGGCAGCGCGGUUGGUGUCGAGGACCUGUGGGUGCCGGGAUGCAUGCCAGGAUCAGGAGGAAGACCGACAGCAGCCAAGAGCGUGGGCUGCAAAGUCGACGCUGCCAUGUACGGUCACUUGGUAAAGCUGGUGAAGGGCCUAUGGACUGCUUCACAGACAUCAGACAGACAUAGCGAGCACAGGACAGGUCAGCUUAACCCCUUCUGUGGGGAUGCAAAUUCCUUGACUUCGUUCGAACCUGGAUCUCCCACUGGGUGCCAAGCGCUGUACAAAGACCUCGGGGCCACAGAGGUAAACUGGACAUGGAUCCCUGUUAAUACACCUGCGAAGGCAGUGGAGGACGGCCCGAAGCGCUUGUGCCCCUGCACCCACGUCGGGGGAGACCUGGUGCAGUUCCAAGCUCCUAGCUUGCUGUGGCCGUUUGGAGAGUGAAUCAGCAGAUGGAAGAUCUCUCUCUCUGUGUCUCCUCCAUUCUGUUAUGUUCAACAUAAAUAAAUCUUUUUUUUU